UACGUAGGGAGCAAGCGUUGUUCGGAUUUACUGGGCGUAAAGGGCGCGUAGGCGGCAUAUUAAGUCAGCUGUGAAAUCUCCGAGCUUAACUCGGAACUGUCAGCUGAUACUGAUGUGCUUGAGUGCGGAAGGGGCAAUCGGAAUUCUUGGUGUAGCGGUGAAAUGCGUAGAUAUCAAGAGGAACACCGGUGGUGUAGACGGCUCUCUGGACCGUAACUGACGCUGAGACACGAAAGCGUGGGUAGCAAACAGG
rnacentral:rRNA from 1 species